GUGCGAUCGCCCGCGAGGGCGGUCACGAAGCCCUGACGAGUAGGAGGGUCGCGGCGGUGAGCGCAGAAGGGCUGGCCGCGAGGCCGUCUGGAGCCGCCGUCGGUGCAGAUCUUGGUGGUAGUAGCAAAUACUCCAGCGAGGCCCUGGAGGACUGACGUGGAGAAGGGUUUCGUGUGAACAGCCGUUGCACACGAGUCAGUCGAUCCUAAGCCCUAGGCGAAAGCCGAUGUCGAUGCGGUGUAGUUUUUACCAAAUAUAUAUAUAUGUGUAUGUAUACAGAGAGCGAGAACACACCCGUCGGGCGAAAGGGAAUCCGGUUCCUAUUCCGGAA
rnacentral:rRNA from 1 species